ensembl:snRNA U6 U6 spliceosomal RNA
GUGCUUCUUUGGCAGUAUGUACACUGAAAUUGGAACGAUACAGAAAAGAUUAGCAUGGCUGCUCUGCAAGGAUGACACGAAGAUUCAUGAAGGAUUCCAUAUUUAA